rnacentral:rRNA from 1 species
CGGCACCUCAAGUGGUCAGGAUGAUUAUUGGGCCUAAAGCAUCCGUAGCCGGCGCUGUAAGUUUUCGGUUAAAGCUGUACGCUCAACGUACAGGCUGCCGGGAAUACUGCAGCGCUAGGGAGUGGGAGAGGUAGACGGUACUCGGUAGGAAGGGGUAAAAUCCUUUGAUCUAUUGAUGACCACCUGUGGCGAAGGCGGUCUACCAGAACACGUCCGACGGUGAGGGAUGAAAGCUGGGGGAGCAAACCGGAUUAGAUACCCGAGUAGUCC